UUCACAACCAUCUAUCUUUUUCCCACGAUAUCCUCAAAACUGAACCUAUACAAUCUGUAGAAAUUCAUGAUUAUUUGAGGAAAUCGCAAACAUCAAUAAUUAGAAAUCCAAUAUAUUAUCAAUCCUUAUCAUAUUUUUGGGUGAUUCUGGAAAAACAAGAAUUGGUUUGUUGCAGGUUCGGGGAGUUUUGCGGUUUUAGGGGUUUUUAGCCAUCGCCUAGAUCAUCAAAAGUCACGAGGGCUGAUGUCUGAAAGAUUUGGGCUACUAGCUGUAAUUGGAACAUAUGUGAAGGAAAAUAGUAUUAAGGUUCAGUUGGAAACUGGUAUAUAACUCACCAUUUAAAUUUAUUCUUAGUGUUGGAAAUAUAUAUUUUUAUGUUCUUUUGCAAUGGGUUAAUUUAACAAAUGUUUACUUUUUAUUUAUGUUCUGUUUGAGUUUUUCAAAUGUAGUAGUCUAAUGAUUUUCAAAUACCGUUGAUUAGUGGACUACAUGCUUUGAAAGCUAAAAUUUUCGAGUUUAAGAUUGUUGCUCAAAUGGAAAAGGUUAUUAAUGACGAUGAUUAAUAGGUUGGAAGGGAGUUAAUGAUCUAUUUUGUCAUUUAAGAAAGGGCAAUGACAUCAUCCUAUUACCCUAGAGUCCCGGGUUUGAUUUUCCAUUUAAAUAAGUGGUUAUAAAGAAAAAGGCCUAUUAUCUUAAUUUAUAUAUUUUGACUUAAUUUUGGUUUUUGUAGAAGUCAUUGGAUGUUGGCAAUACUAAACAUUUAAACAACUACUUGCUAUUAUCAUGAUUCCUUAAGGCUUAGCAAUGACAAUCAGCAGAGCAGUCGAGGCAAAUUAUUGAUAUGGAAAUGGUGCCACCAUAAGGGUUAAACUCAACUGGGUCAAGUCUAAGUGUCCAUGUUAGCCGGGAAGUACUGAAUGUGGCUAUUAUGUGAGGAAGUUCAUGAAGGAGAUAGCUUAUGAAGGAGUUGAAAUACUUGACAAUGACAAUUUGUUGUCUCAGGUUGUGGAAGGAGUAGAGGAAUACUCAAAUGCGGAUGACAUUCGCGAAGAUUGGUUGACUUCUGCGGUUACUUCUAUUUUUAAGUGACAACCGGAUUUUAGGCGUUGACGAAUGUAUCGACAAACAAUUCCUUUUUUGUUUACGUUAAAAUAUUUGUAGUAUAUUAGACAAAAGAUUAUGUAAUGAGUUGUUUUGGUAUA